rnacentral:rRNA from 1 species
GACGAACGCUGGCGGCGUGCUUAACACAUGCAAGUCGAACGAAGUGGCGAACGGGUGAGUAACGCGUAAUCAACCUGCCCUUCAGAGGGGGACAACAGUUGGAAACGACUGCUACUACCGCAUACAGAAGGAGGGGAUUGCGUCGGGUGAGCUAGUGGGAGGGGUAACGGCCCACAAAGGCGAUGAUCAGAAGCCGGGCUGAGAGGAUGAACGGCCACAUUGGGACUGAGACACGGCCCAGACGCCUACGGGAGGCAGCAGUGGGGAAUCUUCCGCAAUGGACGAAAGUCGGACGGAGCAACGCCGCGUGAGUGAAGAAGGUUUUCGGAUCGUAAAACGCUGUUGUUAGAGAAGCGGUAUCUAACCAGAAAGCCACGGCUAACUACGUGCCAGCAGCCGCGGUAAUAC